GGCGGGGCAGAGCGGCGCCGAGCAGAUCACCUUGUUGGUCCGCCAGCCGAAGAUGCCGGCCGUGGUCAGGUUGGCGGCGGGCGGCGCGGCGCCCAGCGGGUCGCGGGGGCCGGCGGGGGCGGCGUAGAGGCGCAGCACGGAGAAGUCGCAGCGGAAGAGGGCGCGCAGCAUGUCGCGCAGGGCGCCCUGCAGGCUGAGCGCGUCGCCGGGGUACAGCGCCUGCCACAGGUGCCACAUGGGCUCGUAGAGGUAGAAGACGUCGGGGUGCUGGUUGAACAGCUCCCCCAGGAAGGACGAGCCCGUGCGCCAGGUGGCGUGCAGGUAGAUGUGCCGCUUGCCCGCCCCGCUGCCGUUGCCCGCCGCCGCCGCCGCCUCCUCCUCCUCCUCGUCGUCGCCGGGCGGCGGCGGGCGCUGCUCCCAGCCCCACUCGCUCAGCGCCUCCUCCAGGCUGGGGCAGCGCCGCAGCAGCGGCUCCUCGUCCGCCCGCGCCCGCCGGGCUCCGUAGUCCAGCACGUAGGGCACCAGCAGCAGCAGCAGCAGCGUGUAGAGCGCCAGCAGCAGCGCCAAGCGGCGGUGCUCCCCCCGCCAGCACCACCGCCGACGGCCCUUCAUGGCGGGGGGAGGAGGGGGGGAGCUGCCCGAGAGCGAGCGGCCGCCGCCGCACCGGCUCUCGGGGAAGGAGGCGAAUACUCGGCGGCGGGGGUGUGGGCUCGGGGCGGCCCUCCCGCCGGGAGCACGCCCACGGGCACGCCGGCCACGGCCGCCGCCUCACGGCGCCGCGUGGAACCGCCGCAGCUGCCCCCGCCGACCCGCCUGAGGCGCUGCCCCGACCUCGGGGCUCUGCCGAUCCGCGGGGUGCCUCCUCGCUGCGUCCUCGCUGCCCCAGCGCCCGCCCGGCGGGAGGAGCGCUGCGGUGCGCUCCUCAGCACAGGGGGAGUGUCGGCCGGAGCUGAGGAGGCGGGCUGGGUCCUGCGGGCUCCGUUAGCUGUCCAGAGAGAGAACGCGCCGCAGUGAUGGGAAGAAUGCGAAUGCCUCUUUAGAGGCGGGUCUGGGAAACCUGUUUUCCACCCCUACGUGAUCCAAAUAAGAACUCCCUGCGACCUGAGUGCCAACCUUGCAUUUUCCAGGACUGAGUCUUUCUGCCUUGACCACAAUUCUUUCUGCUCCGUGAUGUGCUAAAGCACAAAGCAUGUAACAUCUUUCCUGAUCUAAUUAGUGAUGCCUCCAUCUGUCUCGUGGUGAAAGUAACUGGCAUCAACACCAAGCUACAUGGCUUUGUUGUCUCUCUGUCCUUCAGCCUUUCUGUACUCGUGUAACAUGUCACCUGCUGAGAGAAAUGUGGAUUAUUACGUAUUUCUGAUGUAGAACACUGCGUGGAGAGGCAUACAAUAAAAUACAAUAAAAUUAAAUCAUGAAAAGAUGUCAUCAAAGCACCGCUACAUCAUAUCAUUAAAGCUAAGUUGCAAUAAAAACAAUUCAAAUUCAAAUGAAAUUGAAGUCAGGUCUUAUGUUGUCUCUUUUAUUAUUUUUAUACUAUCCCCAGCACAGUAAAUUCAACGUAACAACCAGUCAG
rnacentral:lncRNA from 1 species